CGUAGGCCUCUUGAUGCCAAGCGUCGUUUCUUUGGGUAAACAAUUUCUUCUCCCUCUUCCUUGCCCCGUCGCGUCGAGACGAAGAACCCCGCUUUCUCUGAGGUUUCCUAAUCGGAGAUGGAGAUCGAUUCCAUCGCAGCUGGAGGAGCUCUUAAACCAGAUGGAGAUCGAUUUCGUUGAGACGAAGAACCCUGCUUUUGAUAGGUGUGGGCGAUUACAGAUGCAAAGAGGCAAAGUUUAAUCCCCUCCGCCCUUAAACCAGGAGGAGCUCUCCAGUUUAUCCCCGGCGCCGUCCGCUUCAUUUGCUCUGUCUCUCCAUCAAACCAUCACUUGCUCUGUCUCUCCAUCAAACGAUGAACCAUCCUCCGAGGUGAAGAAGAAGACGUUGGUGAGGAGGAAUGACGUGAGGAAUAUAGCAAUUGUAGCUCAUGUUGAUCAUGGCAAAACUACUUUGGUUGAUUCUAUGCUUAGGCAAGCUAAGGCAAGGAGCAAAGUUAGUGUUGGAGCUAGGGCCUUGCAAAGACUGUGAGAGGUAUCAGUACAAGAGCUUCGAGCUCAACAUCGUCUUUUCGCAGGUGUGUUUAGCUGGCGUAUCUCUUCUUUGCGUUUCUCAUAACUUGAGAAAGCAUGGGAUUUGAAAGUUUCUCUUCGUUGAUCAGCUCAGUGGUCGUAUGGGACGGCUCAAGGCUCAGUAUAUUCAGCAAAUCUCGAACUCUGUGAGAUAAGCACAUACGUUUGCGUCAUUACCUCUCUAAGAUAAGCUACAGGUUCCGCAUCUUUCUGCUUCUACAGUUUCUGGUCGUCACUGUUAGCCAGUUUACCACGCUUUUCCAGACCACUGCGUAUACCGGACAUAUCACGUAUAUAAACAGUGGUGAUUUCGCGGUGAGUCGAGCUUUAGUUUCUUCUUUGGUUUCUUGUUAUACGGUGAUGUUAAAAGCUUGGGAUUGUUUCAAUUCUCUGCGGUGGUCCAAGUUGUUGGGAUUAUUUUAUGUCUGCAAGCAGUAACGAAAAUAUCUCAUAGAGCUCAAGCGAUAGCAUCAGUUGCAAGUAAAUGGCAUGCGAUAAUGUUGUGCUCAUCUACAGAUACAACUCAGAUAAGGACUUCUCCUAGUGGAGUUCACUUGGAAGCCACCACGAAUCCACCCAUCUCCUUUCAGAAUUAGGUACACCAUUGCUGAAUAACACCAUCUUUGAUCACUUAUUUGGGAAAAUAUUUUUGCCUGCUUUGGUGUUUUUGCAUAUGUAUACAAAUGUUUUUAUUACAUUCUUUCUUAUCAUCUGAACUUCAUGUUUUUUUUGUUGUGUUUCUACUUGUAUU